UUGUUCUGCCAAGGGCAUCGCUGGGUAGCUAUGUGCGGACGGGAUAAGUGCUGAAAGCAUCUAAGCAUGAAGCCCCCCUCAAGAUGAGAUUUCCCAUUCCGCAAGGAAGUAAGAUCCCUGAAAGAUGAUCAGGUUGAUAGGUCUGAGGUGGAAGUGUGGCGACACAUGGAGCUGACAGAUACUAAUCGAUCGAGGACUUAACCUAAA
rnacentral:rRNA from 1 species